GGUCUCUCUUCGGGGAACCCACUGCGAAAGUAGUGU
rnacentral:misc_RNA from 1 species